rnacentral:misc_RNA from 1 species
GAUGAAGAACGCAGUGAAAUGCGAUAAGUAGUGUGAAUUGCAGAAUUCAGUGAAUCAUCGAAUCUUUGAACGCACAUUGCGCCCCUUGGUAUUCCAUGGGGCAUGCCUGUUCGAGCGUCAUUUGUACCUUCAAGCUGUGCUUGGUGUUGGGUGUUUGUCUCGCCUCUGCGUGUAGACUCGCCUCAAAACAAUUGGCAGCCGGCGUAUUGAUUUCGGAGCGCAGUACAUCUCGCGCUUUGCACUCAUAACGACGACGUCCAAAAGUACAUUUUUACACUCUUGACCUCGGAUCAGGUAGGGAUACCCGCUGAACUUAAGCAUAUCAAUAAGCGGAGGA